AGCAGCCGCGGUAAUUCCAGCUCCAAUAGCGUAUAUUAAAGUUGUUGCAGUUAAAAAGCUCGUAGUUGAAUUUCGGGAUUGGCGCAUCGGUCGUGCCUCACGGGGUAUGAACUGGUGCAGUCAAUUUCUCACCUUCUGGAGAACCGCGAUGUCCUUAAUUGGAUGCCGCGGGGAACCAGGACCUUUACUUUAGAAAAAUUAGAGUGUUUAAAGCAGGCAUUUUUGCUUGAAUACAUUAGCAUGGAAUAAUAAAAUAGGACGGCAUGGUUCUAUUUUGUUGGUUUCUAGGACCACCGUAAUGAUUAAUAGGGAUAGUUGGGGGCAUUAGUAUUCAAUUGUCAGAGGUGAAAUUCUUGGAUUUAUUGAAGACUAACUACUGCGAAAGCAUUUGCCAAGGAUGUUUUCAUUAAUCAAGAACGAAAGUUAGGGGAUCGAAGACGAUCAGAUACC
rnacentral:rRNA from 1 species